UACAGAGGGUGCAAGCGUUGUUCGGAAUUAUUGGGCGUAAAGCGCUUGUAGGCGGCACGUCAAGUCGCGUGUGAAAUCCCCAGGCUUAACCUGGGAAGUGCGCGCGAAACUGACGAGCUUGAGUGCCGGAGAGGGUCGCGGAAUUCCCGGUGUAGAGGUGAAAUUCGUAGAUAUCGAGAGGAACACCGGUGGCGAAGGCGGCCAACUGGACGAAUACUGACGCUGAGACACGAAAGCGUGGGGAGCAAACAGG
rnacentral:rRNA from 1 species